AUUGAACGCUGGCGGCAGGCCUAACACAUGCAAGUCGAGCGCGCGGCGGACGGGUGAGUAAUGUCUGGGAAACUGCCUGUUGGAGGGGGAUAACUACUGGAAACGGUAGCUACUACCGCAUACCAUCAGAUGUGCCCAGGUGGGAUUAGCUAGUAGGUGGGGUAACGGCCGACCUAGGCGACGAUCCCUAGCUGGUCUGAGAGGAUGACCAGCAACACUGGAACGGAGACACGGUCCAGACUCCGACGGGAGGCAGCAGGGGGGAAUAUUGCACAAUGGGCGAAAGCCUGAUGCAGCCAUGCCGCGUGUGUGAAGAAGGCCUUCGGAUUGUAAAGCACUUUAAGCUGGGAGGCGUUACCAGCAGAAUAAGCACCGGCUAACUCCGUGCCAGCAGCCGCGGUAAUAC
rnacentral:rRNA from 1 species